GGAAAAGAGUUCAAUUCAUCUCUUGUUUGACAAAUGUAAAUCACAAAUAGCUGACAGAUUAAUUCACUCAAUUUGCCACCUUUAUUAACCACACCAUUCAAUUAAUAAAAAUGCAACCAUUUAACAAUUCAUUGUCGAAUGUUAUAAUGGGAAAAAAGAGGAAAUUAUUUCACCGAAAAUUGCACCAUCCUAUACAUAGCCCAACUUAAUCAUUUCAGAAUUCAAUAUUGCAUUAGUUUUCAAAAAACGCAAUUCAUCU
rnacentral:misc_RNA from 1 species